CUUUAUGGCAGGCCGCGUGGGGAGACCCUCGGGUCUGUCGGUUCCCGUUAGCCGGCUCGCCAACCCUGCGCGGUCUGCCACCCAU
rnacentral:antisense_RNA from 2 species